GGCGCUGGCAGACUUCGGCUGGGCUCAGCCCACUCUGAUCCAGGAGAAAGCUAUCCCUCUGGCUCUGGAAGCCAAGGACCUUCUGGUCUGUGCCAAGACCGGGUUAGGAAAAACGAUGCCUACGCUGUACCUGUCAUCCAGCGCAUCCUGACAUCCAAACAGGAGAUGGGGCAGCAGGUACAGGCCAUGAUCCGCCAGCUGACUGCCUAUUGUGCCAGGGAAGUCCUCUACUCUACACUAAUGCAGGGAUGAAGUCAUUAGUGCAUACCAUAGCAAACAGUUGCAAAACGCUUCAAACAGAAAACAUUUUGCAAUGAAAUGACAAAUUCUGUAUGGUCCCUCCCCGUUUUUGUUACAUUUGCUUCAUAGUUAAUACACCCCAGGUGACGGUACAUUGACCCCUCACCUCUGACCUCACCCCUGACCCUCACAGAGCUAAGGAGUAAGGAGUCUCCAGAAGAAUCGACUUCCAGAAUGUCUCCAACUUCAUCAACUUUGACUUCCCCAUCACCGUUGAGCCCUACAUCCACUGCGUCGAACAAAUGGUGCAAGCAGACGACCCAGUCACACCUUCACCUUCAUCUCACACAGAGCUCCCCCUGCUGGCCGAGAUAACACUGAGCGGGUUUUGAAGCCGUAUGGGUUUAAGAUGGAGAUCGAGGGCUUCAGAUACUGCUAAUCGGUCCCUCCGACGCUGAGGGGAGGGCCAACCCAAUGUCAGGCAGGAGGAGAGAAGCCCAAACCUGACGGGGUCGUCAAGACAACCAUCAAGAAGGACUUCUGAGGCAAGAACCACUUGAAGAGUUUUUGCUACACCGGAGUGAGGAGCCGAGGGGGCAAGGCUAGCAAAUCCUAGGAUUCCAUGUCAAAGUGAAUCCAAAUAAAAUUCACCUAUGACAUCACCAGUUUCCAGAUCAGUGCAGAUGAAGGGGGAAACAAACUGAGGAAGCCACUGUAGACUGAGAUGCAGCCGAAGUGUCCACUAUCAGGCCCCAAACGGAAGAAAACGGACUGAAACAGGAGGGGACAAUCUGAACUUAUCCAAUAAGAAACACUUGUUUUUGUAUUCUGUUGGAAAACAUUUUGCUACAUUUUGAAACAGUGCACACUAAUGAAUACAACCCAGAUGAGGAACCUAUCAGCAGCACCAUUACUCUUAAAGUGAGCCAACAUCGGAGUUUGUCUGGUUAGAAAACCUGUCAAAUUAAUAAUGUGCAUUCCCUCCUAAACACGACACAGUAAUGUUAUGACUGCAUUACUCUGCACCUCCACCGAUGCGAAUGAACUUCCUUCUCUUUACUAGUGUUCAAUGAAAUCCGAAUUGAAGAAUUAAAAUUGUUUUUCAAUAAUUAAUUUUCUAUUAUUGAAUUGUCAAUAAUAGAAAUGGAAUUGACCCCAAUUCUGGUAUUUCCUAUACACAUGCUAUGUAUGUGUGGUCAUUUCAGAUGGCUACACGUGGGUAUUGCAUUUAUUGUUUCUUUGUAAUUAGAAUUCAGAAAACGUUUAUUACAUGUUUUGUAUUUUUGCUCUUUAAGCCGUUUACCAUAAAUCAUGUCAUGUCAG
ensembl:lncRNA